UACACAGUUAUACAAGGAAGUGCACGCCUAACGCUAAAAUAUGCUGCCGGCGGUCUGAUGAAACAUGCACGGAAUAAGUGUUCGGUCGACUUCGGGAAUGAUCUUCGUGCACAAUGUCUAGAAAAUGACAUCAUGUUCCACACAAUGUCAUGGUCUAUCAAAAUCUAUAGAGGUUUAGAGUUAAAUACAUAGCUAUUUUUAUAGUCAUAGUCCCCUUUUUUUGAGAAUAUACGAUAGUUUUGGUUAUGGUCUAAGAGUGCGUCACCCAAUUUCUAUAUGCCGUCCUGCAUUGACCUAACGGUCUCUACCCACCCAUUAAUGAAGAUAAUGACGGCGGUAUCGUAAGGAUGGCAAAAUAGGGAUGUGCUUUUGAAAAUUUUUUGUUUUUUGUGAUCAAUUAUUUUUAUUGAGCAUAGCCUUAAGAUGUCUUUGAUCAAUAAGAUUGGUGAUUUUUCUUACUUUUUGAUAACAACAUAAUGGUUCAAUGUUGCCGACUGGAUAACUCCACUUAUUGGACUCCGCCACAGAGUUGGUGGUCAGGGAUACCACCUGCUGAGCUUGUUGCGGACGAAGAGAGUGCAAUUGUGAUUUUAAAAAUACAGGGAAGGCAACAUGCUGCUGAAUUUGCAAGCUGGAUGAUAAUUCAUUAGCAGCUAAGCCCUUUAUAAGCGAUUUGUCACUAACACAUUUUGAUACCGUUCGCUUGGAAAGACAUCGAUCUUUUUGAAGUUUGUUUCUUUUUCGUCGAGC
rnacentral:lncRNA from 1 species